CUACUACUCCCUCCGUCCAAAAAUACUUGUCAUUGAAAUGGAUGUAUCUAGAUGUAUUUUAGUUCUAGACACAUCCAUUUUGAUGACAAGUAAUUCCGGACGGA
rnacentral:pre_miRNA from 1 species